GACGAACGCUGACGGUGUGCUUUAGACAUGCAAGUCGAACGAGAAAGCCCUUCGGGUUAGUAAAGUGGCGAACGGGUGAGUAACACGUGGGCAAUCUGCCCCUCGCAGGGGGACAACCGGGGGAAACCCCGGCUAAUACCCCGUAAGUUCGAAAGGGAGGCAUCUCCCUUCGAAGAAAGGUAGCUUCGGCCAUCCGGCGAGGGAUGAGCCCGCGGUGCAUUAGCUAGUUGGUGGGGUAACGCCC
rnacentral:rRNA from 1 species